ACAGGAUCGUCGCGUUGUAAUAUCGGUGCACGUCUCUCCGUUCUCGCAGGCCGCAUUCAGUUGUUCUUGACAGUUAAUUUAUUGUGUCCGACCAUCGAACGAUGAAAUUUUCGUGGGUGGUUUUCAUCGCGUUGCUAUUCGCGGUGGCCGCCGAAUGCAAACGGAAGAGGAAAUUUGAUGGCGACUUCGAAUUCGCCGAGGAGGAAGACACACGCACCAUCAAAGUGGGCGAUAGGAAGCGCUGGAUACACGAUCCGAACAGUGAUCUUUGCCGUCCGCUGAAUUGCAAGAAGAAGGAACUCUGCUUGCUCGAGGACACUUUCACGGCAGUUUGUGUCUCCAGGAAAGAAUUGCAAAAGUCCGGAGACAUUGUUAUAUCCAAAUCGCGUGCUGUUCAAGAACAGAAAGACCGAGCUGAGACUGCCGAUGACUUGGAAAAAGACGACGUGUUUUACGAUGCGGAAGAUGAUGCUGAUGACGAAGAUCAAGAUGAGUCCAAAUGCCGAGAAUGUCCUGUAAUAAAACCCACAUUUCUGUGUGGAUCAGAUAAUAGAACGUACAGUUCACCAUGUCGAUUAGAGUAUCAUAACUGCAUUCAUCAUACUUCUAUUCACAUUGGCUGCAAAGGAUUCUGCCCAUGCAAAGAAUCUGAACUACGAAUGCACAAGAAGAAAAUGCAAAUGCAGCGGCAAAACUCAUUCCUCGGCAAACUCGGUCGUAAUCGUGAUAUCACCCUAACCCCACGAGACUUCAACUACGAUAAUCAUCACUAUCAAUAUCUUAAAUAUACCAAACACGCUAAGGUACCAUUGGCAGGUAGUAACUAUGAAGAUAAACAUCUCAUGUACAAUGAAGUGAUGGAGAAGACCCCGUCCUCUUCAAACUCAGUCCACAGUCCUCCACAGACGCCAAACCGUGAACCGGACUGUCCGUCGAAAUUGGCAAUGGCCAACCGACUUCUGGACUGGUUUUCUGUCGUAAUGGCCGACGUGAAACACCGUCGGCAGCACACUAAGUCAAAAGGUCACUUUCCUGCCGGCUGUCAAACUGAAGUUAGGUGGAUGUUCGGCCACUUGGACAUUGACGCCGAUAGUCGAAUCUCUCUCACUGAACUUUAUGGACUCGAACACGAUCAGAACGAGCCUUGCCUCAAACCGUUCCUUGAUGCUUGUGAUACCGAUAGAGAUGCGUAUGUCAGUGGACCCGAAUGGUGCGGAUGUUACUCGAAAGCUGAGCGUCCGUGUGCUGCCGUUCGUAGACGAUCGUCUCCAGAAGUUGCGCCAGCUUGUGAUUCAAGAGGCUACUAUCGCAGUACCCAGUGUCACCGAGGCCUUGGCCUUUGCUGGUGCGUAGAUCCUCAUGGAGUCGAAUUUGCCGGGACCAGGACCCGCGGUACUAAACCUGAUUGCGUACUAAGUAUCUUGAUAUUUGGGAUGAGGAGAGAAGUCCGAGUAGAGACCGAGGAGUGGCAGCCUGUGUAGUUGCUGAUCAGCAUGAGCUUCCUGCGUCAUUGGCGCCGCGCUGAUGGGCAGCCCUUGACUUACCUCACCAACUAAUAACUAUACGUAAAUAAUUCUCAACAUCCAUCUAGGGAUUGAGCCCUAAUACACUAGUGAACUCGUGGCUAUCGCAGGACGAAGUACUUCUACCCUAAGGAUGAUCAGGCAACCUAAGCUUGCUACUUGUCCCUUUAUAGUGCGGUACUUACGACUAUAAGUUAUGUUUGCACAAUCUUCGCUGUUGCAGUGAAAAUUUCUGCUUUUUGAGCUGAAAUUUUUGCUGCUAUUAUAUUACCACUUAAAAUUUCUGGCCCAGCAAAACAAAACAGAUGUUGUGCUAGCGCAAGCAUAAACAAAAUUUUUUUUUUUAAUGUAGCUAUGCCAAGUUCGAUGUUGAGAGAACAAUGUCCUCAAAAAUGGGUGGCACAUUAAAAUUGACAGUGAAGAAAAAAUUAGCAACAAAUGUUGACUAAAUUUUGUCACCUUUACAAAUCGAAAAAAAAUUUAGUGAUUGUGCUAGCUCAAAUUUCAAGUCAGCACAAGCAUUAUUUUAAACCAUAAUAUAUUUUCAGCAAGAAAAUCUACUAUAGCGCAACUAAUUAUCAAUGAGAGAACAACGAAUUACUCUACUUGUUUAUUGUGAUUAUGCUUAUGUGGUUAUUUCAGCUCAAUAGAUGUCCAUUUUCUAGCAGUUUUUGAAAUUAAACAUUUCAAGCUAAUUGUAAUUGAGAUACGUAAUAGUGUAUACUUAGGUAUGCAUAUUCUCUAACGUUCAGACCUUUUGACCUGACCAUUCAGUAUUAAAAAACCGUUGAUCGAUUUUAUCAUGUUUUUAAAUUGAAGCUUUAUCACCUAAGCAUUCGCACUUUCUGCCAUUGGAAUAAAGGUCACAGUGCGUUUUUGUGUAAAAAAAACUUUUGUCUUCCCGUAUAUGGAAUCCAUAUGAAGAUAGAUCCUUAGGAACUGCUAAAACACGUUUGCUUGACAGUUUCAGUCAUUACACGUAAAAGCCAGAUGAAUAAUUUGUAUCGAGUGAAGAAGUAGGUCACAUUCCAGAGUAAAUCUUGAAAGUUUCAAAUAACUCAAGAGUAUGAAUCACAGAGUGAUCUUCAGUCGAUUUCGAUCGUCUAAUUUGUGUCUACGUUCGAACGCGAUUUCGAGUACAAAGAGGUAGUUAUUUCACAACAGGGGAGAAGACUUUAAAUAUCACCUCACGUAUUCGAAGCACUCGUGAGACAAAGAGUCAUUAUUUGCUGUUUUUUACUAAGUCUUACAGUUUUUGAUACAAUAGUAUCGAAAUUUAAUUUCUCAGGGGUAGAUCUUUAGAAUAAGGGGUAGUCCUAGUUAAUUCCUAAGCAAGAUAACAAAAUUGUUUUCAUUGCUAUUUUUACUGGUGUUGCUGGCUUCGCUUAAGAAACGGCGACGGUAAAAUUAAAAAAUUGCGUAUCUUCACAUGAAUUUCACUGAUGUUUGGACCUUUCGUUUUGAAGCCUAAAACUGAAAUCUGGUCCUAACUUCAGUUCGAUAGAUCAGGUACUUUCAACGUUACGUGUAUUUUUGACCAAUUUCACAAAAGAAGAACCAAUCCGUCGCGUAUGGUUUUUCGCAUCCGUGCAUAAUUCUUCAGCAGAUGCACCGAUUUGAAUGUUUCUUUUUUAAAGCUAAAAAUGUUUGCGCCGCUGAUAGCCCCAUGAGAUUUUUCAAAUAAUACUGGUCCAUUAAUAGCCAGUUACGAAAAAUCUAAAUUUUCAUACCAUCGCUGUUUAUGAUCAUUUAUCGAUUUGGAUGAUUUGUAGUGGCAGAUUAUAAUCAAUGAAAAUACGUAUUUCAAUUUUUGACGCAUGAUUUUUAAUGCCCUUGACGACCCGGAGAAAUGACCAAGAACUUACCGUGUUCGCAAUAAUUUGCCGACGCAAUGAUAGAUUCAAUAGUGAAUAAGUUAAGUAACGGCGGGAUCAAAACAAACAGAGUAGAUCUCGAGGAUGAUGAAGACGGAGGUGCCGAUCCUGCACAAGAUCUCGAAGGUUCUGCUGACCAGCCCUUGGACUUCUAGACUUAUGCG
rnacentral:misc_RNA from 1 species